GCCUUCUUAGCUCAGUGGUAGAGCGCGUGGCUUUUAACCACGUGGUCGUGGGUUCUCGAUCCCCACAGACGGUG
rfam:Ipomoea nil DNA, scaffold: scaffold3322, cultivar: Tokyo-kokei standard.